AUUGAACGCUGGCGGCAGGCCUAACACAUGCAAGUCGAACGGUAGCACAGAGGAGCUUGCUCCUUGGGUGACGAGUGGCGGACGGGUGAGUAAUGUCUGGGAAACUGCCCGAUGGAGGGGGAUAACUACUGGAAACGGUAGCUAAUACCGCAUAACGUCGCAAGACCAAAGAGGGGGACCUUCGGGCCUCUUGCCAUCGGAUGUGCCCAGAUGGGAUUAGCUAGUAGGUGGGGUAACGGCUCACCUAGGCGACGAUCCCUAGCUGGUCUGAGAGGAUGACCAGCCACACUGGAACUGAGACACGGUCCAGACUCCUACGGGAGGCAGCAGUGGGGAAUAUUGCACAAUGGGCGCAAGCCUGAUGCAGCCAUGCCGCGUGUAUGAAGAAGGCCUUCGGGUUGUAAAGUACUUUCAGCGAGGAGGAAGGCGUUGUGGUUAAUAACCGCAACGAUUGACGUUACUCGCAGAAGAA
rnacentral:rRNA from 1 species